AGGGGGCUAGCGUUGUUCGGAAUUACUGGGCGUAAAGGGCGCGUAGGCGGUACUUCAAGUCAGGCGUGAAAGCCCCGGGCUCAACCUGGGAACCGCGCUUGAGACUGGAGAACUAGAGUUCGGGAGAGGAUGGUGGAAUUCCCAGUGUAGAGGUGAAAUUCGUAGAUAUUGGGAAGAACACCGAUGGCGAAGGCAGCCAUCUGGACCGACACUGACGCUGAGGCGCGAAAGCGUGGGGAGCAAACAGG
rnacentral:rRNA from 1 species